AUCCGUUGCUUGACAACGAGAGAGAGCACGCCUGUCGGCAUUCAUGGGAAGGGAGCAUGACAGUCUACAAGUGUGCUCUCUCGCGUUGUCAUUCGAGCUCAUU
rnacentral:pre_miRNA from 1 species